rnacentral:rRNA from 1 species
CAGCAGCCACGGGAAUACGUAGGGUGCGAGCGUUAAUCGGAAUUACUGGGCGUAAAGCGUGCGCAGGCGGUUCGUUAAGACAGAUGUGAAAUCCCCGGGCUUAACCUGGGAACUGCAUUUGUGACUGGCGGGCUAGAGUAUGGCAGAGGGGGGUAGAAUUCCACGUGUAGCAGUGAAAUGCGUAGAGAUGUGGAGGAAUACCGAUGGCGAAGGCAGCCCCCUGGGCCAAUACUAACGCUCAUGCACGAAAGCGUGGGGAGCAAACAGGAUUAGAUACCCCUGUAGUCCCUGUCUCUUAUAC